UACAGAGGUCCCGAGCGUUAGGCGGAAUCACUGGGCUUAAAGCGUGUGUAGGCGGGUCCGUAAGUGCCUUGUGAAAUCCCACCGCUCAACGGUGGAACUGCUGGGCAUACUGCGGGUCUUGAGCCAGCUAGGGGCGACCGGAACAGACGGUGGAGCGGUGAAAUGCGUAGAUAUCGUCUGGAACGUCGAAGGUGAAAACAGGUCGCUGGGGCUGCGCUGACGCUGAGACACGAAAGCCAGGGGAGCAAACGGG
rnacentral:rRNA from 1 species